rnacentral:lncRNA from 13 species
AUGCCUCUGGAAGCGCUGUCGGACGCGCGGUGCGCUCGGGUGGGACCGCGCUGCCAGAGCCUCAGCAGGGGCAACGAGGGACAACUGAUCUGCUCCGUGAGCCCUCAGGGACGGCAUAAAAAAACAAACAAACCCCCCAAAACCCCGAAGCAGCUGAGAUCUUCGGUGCGGGAAGACGAGCAGCUCCUCCCCAGCCGGGCUCUCAGCCCGCAUCCCGCGGGGCAUCCCGGGCACCGGCACUGCCUUUCUCCCGGGGAUAACCCCCACCUGCCCUCUCAGAGCCACAGGAUCACAGACUGCGCAAGCUCUCCUAUGUCCUCUCUUGAGAUGGGAAGGCCGGAGCAGCAGUCAGUCUCCAACAUGUGAACAAACUGUGGAUUUCUACAACAGACUGCAGAUAGUCUGUGCUUUCUGCUUGGUUCAUCUCCUAGGAAGUCCUAACAUUUUCAACCACUGCAGGCUGCCAUUCUCUGAAGUAAAACUUCCAGAAGAAACAUACGCUAACGGAUCAACUUUGAAAGGUAAGGGCCAUGUGUACACAUUUGAUGCAAUGUGUUUAUUCACAGACUUUUGUCUCAAGU